rnacentral:rRNA from 1 species
UACGUAGGGUGCGAGCGUUAAUCGGAAUUACUGGGCGUAAAGGGCUCGUAGGCGGCCAACUAAGUCAGACGUGAAAUCCCUAGGCUCAACCUAGGAACUGCGUCUGAUACUGGAUGGCUUGAAUCCGGGAGAGGGAUGCAGAAUUCCAGGUGUAGCGGUGAAAUGCGUAGAUAUCUGGAGGAAUACCGGUGGCGAAGGCGGCAUCCUGGACCGGCAUUGACGCUGAGGAGCGAAAGCCAGGGGAGCAAACGGG